rnacentral:rRNA from 1 species
UACGUAGGGUGCGAGCGUUAAUCGGAAUUACUGGGCGUAAAGCGUGCGCAGGCGGUUUUGUAAGCCAGAUGUGAAAGCCCCGGGCUUAACCUGGGAAUGGCAUUUGGGACUGCAAGGCUUGAGUGUGGCAGAGGAGACUGGAAUUCCUGGUGUAGCAGUGAAAUGCGUAGAUAUCAGGAAGAACACCCGUGGCGAAAGCGGCGCUCUGGGCCUAAACUGACGCUGAGGGGCGAAAGCGUGGGGAGCGAACGGG